CCAAAAGAUGCUCCAGAGAUCUGGUUGAAGAUGUUCGAUAUUGAAGAUGAUGUUUUUCAGAUGACGGUUCAAUGUUGAAGAUAAUCCAAAAGAUGUUGAAGAUGUUCCAGAUCUAAAAGAUCCCCCAGAUCAAUAAAGUGACGUGAAGCAUGGUGUGGUUCAUAUGACGGUUCGAUGUUUUAGAUCUGAAGCAUUUAGUUCUUGUUUUCUGGAUAUGUUGUUUUUUAUUACUGAUUUUUUCAUUUUUUUUGUGUAAAAUUUGUUUUCAGAUAUGAAACAAUUUGAUUUAAGUUCUUAUGUA